AGGUAAGCUACUAAGAGCGAAUGGUGGAUGCCUUGACUGGUAGAGGCGAUGAAGGACGUACUAGACUGCGAUAAGCUACGGGGAGCUGUCAAGAAGCUUUGAUCCGUAGAUUUCCGAAUGGGGCAACCCAAUGUAUAGAGAUAUACAUUACCUAUAUAGGAGCGAACGAGGGGAAUUGAAACAUCUUAGUACCCUCAGGAAAAGAAAUCAAUAGAGAUUGCGUCAGUAGCGGCGAGCGAAAGCGCAAGAGGGCAAACCCAGUGCUUGCACUGGGGGUUGUAGGACUGCAAUGUGCAAGAGGUAAGUUUAGCAGAACAUUCUGGAAAGUAUAACCAUAGAGGGUGAUAGUCCCGUAUGCGAAAAACAAACCUUAGCUAGCAGUAUCCUGAGUAGGGCGGGACACGAGGAAUCCUGUCUGAAUCCGGGUCGACCACGAUCCAACCCUAAAUACUAAUACCAGAUCGAUAGUGCACAAGUACCGUGAGGGAAAGGUGAAAAGAACUGAGGUGAUCAGAGUGAAAUAGAACCUGAAACCAUUUGCUUACAAUCAUUCAGAGCACUAUGUAGCAAUACAGUGUGAUGGACUGCCUUUUGCAUAAUGAGCCUGCGAGUUGUGGUGUCUGGCAAGGUUAAGCAAACGCGAAGCCGUAGCGAAAGCGAGUCUGAAUAGGGCGCUUAGUCAGAUGCUGCAGACCCGAAACGAAGUGAUCUAUCCAUGAGCAAGUUGAAGCUAGUGUAAGAACUAGUGGAGGACUGAACCCAUAGGCGUUGAAAAGCCCCGGGAUGACUUGUGGAUAGGGGUGAAAGGCCAAUCAAACUUCGUGAUAGCUGGUUCUCUCCGAAAUAUAUUUAGGUAUAGCGUUGUGUCGUAAUAUAAGGGGGUAGAGCACUGAAUGGGCUAGGGCAUACACCAAUGUACCAAACCCUAUCAAACUCCGAAUACCUUAUAUGUAAUCACAGCAGUCAGGCGGCGAGUGAUAAAAUCCGUCGUCAAGAGGGAAACAACCCAGACUACCAGCUAAGGUCCCUAAAUCUUACUUAAGUGGAAAACGAUGUGAAGUUACUUAAACAACCAGGAGGUUGGCUUAGAAGCAGCCAUCCUUUAAAGAAAGCGUAAUAGCUCACUGGUCUAGUGAUUUUGCGCGGAAAAUAUAACGGGGCUAAAGUAAGUACCGAAGCUGUAGACUUGCACACAACUUAGAUUAUUUAAGUUUAGAAUAUGAGAAACUAAGUUAUAUGUUUAGUUAUAUUUUUACUGAUUUUUAUAGAGUAAAGAUAGAAAUAAAACUUAGUAAAAUCAGUAAAAAUAUUCUUAGACUAAAGUUAAGUAGUUUAAGUUGUGUGCAAGUGGUAGGAGAGCGUUCUAUUUGCGUCGAAGGUAUACCGGUAAGGAGUGCUGGAGCGAAUAGAAGUGAGCAUGCAGGCAUGAGUAGCGAUAAUUAAUGUGAGAAUCAUUAACGCCGUAAACCCAAGGUUUCCUACGCGAUGCUCGUCAUCGUAGGGUUAGUCGGGUCCUAAGUCGAGUCCGAAAGGGGUAGACGAUGGCAAAUUGGUUAAUAUUCCAAUACCAACAUUAGUGUGCGAUGGAAGGACGCUUAGGGCUAAGGGGGCUAGCGGAUGGAAGUGCUAGUCUAAGGUCGUAGGAGGUUGUACAGGCAAAUCCGUAUAACAAUACUCCGAGAACUGAAAGGCUUUUUGAAGUCUUCGGAUGGAUAGAAGAACCCCUGAUGCCGUCGAGCCAAGAAAAGUUUCUAAGUUUAGCUAAUGUUGCCCGUACCGUAAACCGACACAGGUGGGUGGGAUGAGUAUUCUAAGGCGCGUGGAAGAACUCUCUUUAAGGAACUCUGCAAAAUAGCACCGUAUCUUCGGUAUAAGGUGUGGUUAGCUUUGUAUUAGGAUUUACUCCGAAAGCAAGGAAACUUACAACAAAGAGUCCCUCCCGACUGUUUACCAAAAACACAGCACUCUGCUAACUCGUAAGAGGAUGUAUAGGGUGUGACGCCUGCCCGGUGCUCGAAGGUUAAUUGAUGGGGUUAGCAUUAGCGAAGCUCUUGAUCGAAGCCCGAGUAAACGGCGGCCGUAACUAUAACGGUCCUAAGGUAGCGAAAUUCCUUGUCGGUUAAAUACCGACCUGCAUGAAUGGCGUAACGAGAUGGGAGCUGUCUCAAAGAGGGAUCCAGUGAAAUUGUAGUGGAGGUGAAAAUUCCUCCUACCCGCGGCAAGACGGAAAGACCCCGUGGACCUUUACUACAGCUUGACACUGCUACUUGGAUAAGAAUGUGCAGGAUAGGUGGGAGGCUUUGAGUAUAUGACGCCAGUUGUAUAUGAGCCAUUGUUGAGAUACCACUCUUUCUUAUUUGGGUAGCUAACCAGCUUGAGUUAUCCUCAAGUGGGACAAUGUCUGGUGGGUAGUUUGACUGGGGCGGUCGCCUCCCAAAUAAUAACGGAGGCUUACAAAGGUUGGCUCAGAACGGUUGGAAAUCGUUCGUAGAGUAUAAAGGUAUAAGCCAGCUUAACUGCAAGACAUACAAGUCAAGCAGAGACGAAAGUCGGUCUUAGUGAUCCGGUGGUUCUGUGUGGAAGGGCCAUCGCUCAAAGGAUAAAAGGUACCCCGGGGAUAACAGGCUGAUCUCCCCCAAGAGCUCACAUCGACGGGGAGGUUUGGCACCUCGAUGUCGGCUCAUCGCAUCCUGGGGCUGGAGCAGGUCCCAAGGGUAUGGCUGUUCGCCAUUUAAAGCGGUACGCGAGCUGGGUUCAGAACGUCGUGAGACAGUUCGGUCCCUAUCUGCCGUGGGCGUAAGAAGAUUGAAGAGAUUUGACCCUAGUACGAGAGGACCGGGUUGAACAAACCACUGGUGUAGCUGUUGUUCUGCCAAGAGCAUCGCAGCGUAGCUAAGUUUGGAAAGGAUAAACGCUGAAAGCAUCUAAGCGUGAAGCCAACUCUAAGAUGAAUCUUCUCUAAGCUCUCUAGAAGACUACUAGUUUGAUAGGCUGGGUGUGUAAUGGAUGAAAGUCCUUUAGCUGACCAGUACUAAUAGAGCGUUUGGCUUAUCUUA
rnacentral:rRNA from 1 species